GUGGUAGGGGAGCGUUCCAAGGGCUGCGAAGUCGGACCGUGAGGACCGGUGGAGCGCUUGGAAGUGAGAAUGCCGGUAUGAGUAACGAAAAGAAGGGUGAGAAUCCCUUCCGUCGAAAACCUAAGGGUUCCUGAGGAAGGUUCGUCCGCUCAGGGUUAGUCGGGACCUAAGCCGAGGCCGAAAGGCGUAGGCGAUGGAAAACAGGUUGAAAUUCCUGUACCACCUUCUUCCCAUUUGAGCGAUGGGGGGGACGCAGAAAGGAAGGGCAAGCGCGCUGUUGGAUAUGCGCGUCCAAGCCGUUAGGCUGAUGAACAGGCAAAUCCGUUCAUCGUGAAGGCUGAGCGGCGAUGGCGAGGGAAAUAUCAGUACCGAAGUUCCCGUCCCUACACUGCCAAGAAAAGCCUCUAGCGAGGGAAGU
rnacentral:rRNA from 1 species